ACGGAGGGUGCGAGCGUUAAUCGGAAUCACUGGGCGUAAAGCGCACGUAGGCGGUGUCGUAAGUCGGAUGUGAAAGCCCUCGGCUCAACCGGGGAACUGCAUUCGAUACUGCGAUGCUUGAGUGCCGGAGAGGGGGGCGGAAUUCCAGGUGUAGGGGUGAAAUGCGUAGAUAUCGGGAAGAACACCGGUGGCGAAGGCGGCCAACUGGACUGUAACUGACGCUGAUGUGCGAAAGCGUGGGGAUCAAACAG
rnacentral:rRNA from 1 species